GAUGAACGCUGGCGGCGUGCCUAAUACAUGCAAGUCGAGCGAACAGACGAGGAGCUUGCUCCUCUGACGUUAGCGGCGGACGGGUGAGUAACACGUGGAUAACCUACCUAUAAGACUGGGAUAACUUCGGGAAACCGGAGCUAAUACCGGAUAAUAUAUUGAACCGCAUGGUUCAAUAGUGAAAGACGGUUUUGCUGUCACUUAUAGAUGGAUCCGCGCCGCAUUAGCUAGUUGGUAAGGUAACGGCUUACCAAGGCAACGGUGCGUAGCCGACCUGAGAGGGGGGACCGGCCACACUGAACCUGGGACACGGUCCAGCCCCCAACGGGGGGCAGCAGAAGGAAACCUUCGGCAAGGGGCGAAAGCCUGACGGAGCAACGCGGGGGGGGUGAGGAAGGCCUUCGGUUCGUAAAACCCUGUUAUUAGGGAAGAACAAAGGUGUAAGUAACAAUGCAGGUCUUGCCGGUACCUAAUCAGAAAGCCACGGCUACCUACGU
rnacentral:rRNA from 1 species